GGCUGUCGUCAGCUCGUGUCGUGAGAUGUUGGGUUAAGUCCCGCAACGAGCGCAACCCACGUCUUUAGUUGCCAGCAUUAAGUUGGGCACUCUAGAGAGACCGCCGGUGAUAAACCGGAGGAAGGUGUGGAUGACGUCAAGUCAUCAUGCCCCUUACACCCUGGGCUACACACGUACUACAAUGCUACGGACAAAGGGCAGCAAACUCGCGAGAGCUAGCAAAUCCCAUAAACCGUGGCUCAGUUCAGAUCGUAGGCUGCAACUCGCCUACGUGAAGGAGGAAUCGCUAGUAAUCGCAGGUCAGCAUACUGCGGUGAAUACGUUCCCGGGCCUUGUACACACCGCCCGUCACACCAUGGAAGUUGGCCACGCCCGAAGUCGUUACUCCAACCCUUGUGGAGGAGGAUGCCGAAGGUGGGGCUGAUGACUGGGGUGAAGUCGUAACAAGGUAGCCGUACCGGAAGGUGCGGCUGGAUCACCUCCUAA
rnacentral:rRNA from 1 species